CAGCAGCCGCGGGAAUACGUAGGGUGCGAGCGUUAAUCGGAAUUACAGGGCGUAAAGCGUGCGCAGGCGGUUCGUUAAGACAGAUGUGAAAUCCCCGGGCUCAACCUGGGAACUGCAUUUGUGACUGUAGAGCUGGAGUGCGGCAGAGGGGGAUGGAAUUCCGCGUGUAGCAGUGAAAUGCGUAGAUAUGCGGAGGAACACCGAUGGCGAAGGCAAUCCCCUGGGCCUGCACUGACGCUCAUGCACGAAAGCGUGGGGAGCAGACAGGAUUAGAUACCCCCGUAGUCCCUGUCUCUUAUAC
rnacentral:rRNA from 1 species